CAAUUCGAUAUGGUCUGAUUUUGUUGAUAGUCUUGUUAUCUAUUUUUGUUUUUAUUAUUUUUUAUUAAAGAAUUCUUUUGUUAUUGUAAUGUUUUGAUUUAAUUUUUUUACUAUAGGUUAUUUGUACUGUAAGGGGUUUGUGAUAUUUGGUGUUUUUGGAAGUUGAUUUUGUUUAUCGUACCUUGUGUAUCAGGGUUCAUUGAAUUUUAUUAUUUAUUUUUAUUUCCCGAUUUUAAAGGAGUUAAUUACUUGUGUUAGUUACUGUUUCAUUAGUAUUAAUAAUAGGUAAUUGGUAGUGAAAUGUUAUUCGUCUUUAGUGGUUUCUGGUUUUUCAAGAAAUGAAUUUAAUUCAUACAUCUUAUUUAAUUUUUGUAUUGGUUUCUUUAUAUUUUAUUUGAUGUCAAGAUUGAGGGGGAUUAGCUCUUUAUUUUAUUUUUAAAAUUUGUUGAUUAUAUUUAGUUUUGUGGAUUUUAUGGUGAUUUUCUAUUUGAUUAUGUUAAAAUUUUAUUUGUUCUUUUUUUUAUUUAUUGGUAUUUAAAUUGUUUAUUGAAAUGUAUUCUUUAUUUUAGUUUGUGUAGUAAUUAUUGUGUAAUUAGUAAAUUUUGUUUGUUUUAUAUUAUUUGGUGGAUUUGGGUGUUAAUUGCUUUUUAGGAAUUCGGCAAAUAUUUAUGUCCGCCUGUUUAACAAAAACAUCUCUUCUUGUUAGUUUUUGAAGUAUGGCCUGCCCACUGACGAGUUGUUGAAGGGCCGCGGUAUUUUGACCGUGCAAAGGUAGCAUAAUCAUUAGUUCUUUAAUUGUGAUCUGGUAUGAAUGGCUUGACGAGACAUUAGCUGUCUUGGAGGUAUUGUUUAUUGAAUUUGGUUUUUGAGUUAAAAUUCUUAAAUGUUUUUAUGGGACGAGAAGACCCUAUAGAGUUUAACAGGUUUCUUAUUUUUUGUUAGUUUGUUUAUUUUUGUAUAGUGGGUUAUACUGUUUUGUUGGGGUGAUGAGAGGAAAAUGUUUAACUCUUCUUUAUUUUUAUAUAUUUGUAUAUAUUUUUUUGAUCCAUUUAUUUUGAUUAUAAGAUUAAAUUACCUUAGGGAUAACAGCGUUAUCUUCCUUGAGAGUUCUUAUUGGCGGGAGGGUUUGCGACCUCGAUGUUGGAUUAAGGUUAAUUUUCGGUGCAGGAGCUGGAAUAGGUUAGGUCUGUUCGACCUUUAAAAUCUUACAUGAUCUGAGUUCAGACCGGCGUGAGCCAGGUUGGUUUCUAUCUAUAGAAUUUAUUUAUACCUUAGUACGAGAGGACCGGGUAUUUGGAAUAAUUUCAUUUGUUAUAUUGAUUUUUAUUAAUGUGUGCUAUUUUGGCAGAUAAGUGCAUUGGAUUUAGAAUCUAUU
rnacentral:rRNA from 1 species